rnacentral:rRNA from 1 species
CCUACGGGUGGCAGCAGUGGGGAAUAUUGGACAAUGGGGGGAACCCUGAUCCAGCCAUGCCGCGUGUGUGAAGAAGGCCCUCGGGUUGUAAAGCACUUUCAGUGAGGAAGAACGCCUGGUGGUUAAUACCCAUCAGGAAAGACAUCACUCACAGAAGAAGCACCGGCUAACUCCGUGCCAGCAGCCGCGGUAAUACGGAGGGUGCGAGCGUUAAUCGGAAUUACUGGGCGUAAAGCGCGCGUAGGUGGCUUGAUAAGCCGGUUGUGAAAGCCCCGGGCUCAACCUGGGAACGGCAUCCGGAACUGUCAAGCUAGAGUGCAGGAGAGGAAGGUAGAAUUCCCGGUGUAGCGGUGAAAUGCGUAGAGAUCGGGAGGAAUACCAGUGGCGAAGGCGGCCUUCUGGACUGACACUGACACUGAGGUGCGAAAGCGUGGGUAGAAAACAGGCUUAGAUACCCUAGUAGUC